rnacentral:misc_RNA from 1 species
AGCGAGUUCGUGCGGCGUCGACGAAGCUUCUCGGCACCCGUUGAACCGUUCGGUUGUCCCUGUUGCCUUCGUAUGUGUUUUCAUGCCUAGCGGUGCGGCUCGGCUCCUACCUGGCGUAUUUGCACUCGAGACUCAUCCCUUUAUCGGGCUAGUCGAGAUGUGUUUUUCGUUGGGCGGUGCUGGGUUUAGCUAACGUGACGGCGUAUGAGUGGUAAUUGGGUUGUAUUCGACGGCAGGCUCCGUGCUUCGGCAUCGAACUGUCGGCUCGUACCCCGCUUCAGUGAUGCACCAAGAUUCGUCUUGUGCGCGAGAUGGGUUUCUGUUUUGGCUACCUAUUGCGAAGGAAUGUUGCCUCUCGUCGUCCCUUUCCUCCUCCUGCUGGCCUUGCUGGCGGGAGGACGACAUCGUAGCGGCGCUCGUGUCCCGGGCGAGCCACACGCGUUGUGGUGCAGUUUCGGUCCUCGAGUUUCCCCUCGACAUCUCGGAUGCGGAACGCUAAAGGGGCGGUGGGUUUUUUUACGACCUCCGAUCGUCCAUUCGAAGCCUUGUCGCUUGAUGCGUACGACUGUCGUGCCCGUUGCGAGCUGUCGACCGUUGCGGUCGUCAGUCUAGCGCGGCGCCGGCGUCGAAGAGGAAUGC